GGACUUGAGAAUUGGAACAGUACUCGGGCUGUGACUGAUGACGUUUCACGAGUCCACGAGAACAAAAGUCCACACAAGAACGCAUAUUGAGAAACGGCUACAGUUUCACAGGUUGAAGCUUGACACUUGCUACAAGGCUUCGUAAAAGACAAAGCAAAGUGGUCACCAGUAAAGAAGUAGACAAUGUCAAGACUGGUCCUCAGAUGGACAUUGUGGUUGGACGUACGUCCACGGUAUCCGUAACCUGAGGAGAAUGAGGAGAGAGAGACCAAUGGAGCCAAACCGCUGAAGAAGACACAACUAAAAGGGAAACGGAACGCAAGCUCCUCUGCUGAGAGCUCCUACCGAAGAAAACUAAGCCCAACGAUGACGAUACUGUGUUCAUGUUGGCAACCUGAACGAAUAUAAACCAUUUUAUGACCUUCAAGAUGCAUUAAGCAAAUGCUUCAUGAAUCAGAGUCUACUGGUUCAAGACAUCCGAUUUGACCGAUCCAAUAGACAGAGAUGAGAAAUAUUUGUUUUUGAGGAACGUCCCGUACAACACAACAAAAGACGACCUUCUGAAAGUCUUCAGCUUGGCUGUCGGUGUCUGGUUUCCUGGUGGGACGGAAGGUCCAACACAAGGGUUUGCAUUUCUCGGGUUUGCCUCUGAAGCAGCUGAAAAGGCCAUGAAGGCACACCAAAACAUGAAAGUCCUCAAAAAGCCUCUCGAGGUACAAUUCAGCAAAGUACAACAGAAACCGGGGCAUGUCAAAGUUCUGUUGAGAACACUGGUUGUGAUGGGUCUCGCCGAGAAGACGACUCUUUAUAUUGUCCUGAUUGCAAUAGCGGCUUAGUGGUUAACAUUGACGUGUCUGCUGUCACACGGCUCUGAGGUUUGGCUUUCUGGAGCUUGAGAGUGAAGAAAACUGCAAAGCUGCCAAAGAAGCCAUGGAGGGCUGCGAGAUCCACGGGCGCAAAGUGACUGUGGCUUAUGCUAAACACAACCGCUUAAAAGCCCCCGUGACGCCCGGCGGGCCGCCUGCGGGGGCCGGCGGUGGUGGGCGAGGCGGAAGCAGGUAACACUCGAGUUAAACUGCUGUGUCAAAGACACGUUGUUCUUUUUUUUAUUAUUAACCAUAAAUGUUUUAUUAGUAUUGUGUAAACAUGUUCGUCUUUAUUGGUGUACAUCCAGUUGUCACCUCUCCAGGUACAUUCAUAUAGUCAGAGCAUCUCAGCAUCUCUUUGCGCAUUUUGUUUUUUCUACAUGUGAUUUAGCUAAUUGCCAACAAAGUGACUUAAUUAGAGUGUUUACAUCCUGUUGUUCUUUUCUCUUGGGGUCUAAGCGAAGUGAAUUUAGCUUGAAUAAUUACAUUCCUGCUAUUCUUUCUCAGCUUGUUUUUAGAAUUGUUCUUGCAUAUGAUGGUUUGCAACAUGUAUCUGAUAUUUUAAUCUGUUAAAUAAUUCUAAUCUGUCAAAUAAUUUAUGCAGGGACAGCUGGUUUUUAUCUUGGCUUUAUCUGGGUAUUUCUUUUAUCUUGCAUUCGUGUUGUGUUUUUAUACACGACAAAGGUCAAUUACUCUACGCGUUUACGGUCUUAUUUUAGAUUCUCGACUUGUUUGUUUUGAUUGCCUUUGCGUAAAAGUUUUAUCUUAAUUUAUUACAGGUAAGAAGUGUGGAACCGGAUAACAACAGGAUGCUUUUAAAAUAGUGCAAAAUAAAUCCUUAGUCUGCAAAAGUUAUCAUGUAGAUAUCUUUCCCUCUACAACAACCUGUAAACCAUGGAAGAACUGGUGCUGAUGAUGAUGAAUGAUAGACUAGAUAAGGAAUAGAUAGAUACUUUAUUGAUCUCUGAAGAGGGAAAUUUUGGUAUCACAGCAGCAUGUAGAGGGAAGAAAAUAGAAUAAAAAGAUACACAUUAUAUACAAUAUAAUAAGAUAGAAAUAUUAAAUUCUUAAAUUAAAUUAAAUAAAAACUAAAACUGAAACAAAAUAAUAACCCUUCAAAAGAGACAAUAAUAAUAAUUUGUAAAAGGAGAAGAGGAAGAGCAGCAACAUCACAGCAGUACAGGGUUAUUAUUGUCAUUAUUUAGCAAGGGAUGAUUUAUUGUAAAGUGUUAUUGCACUGGGCAGGAAUGAUCUCCUGUAUCGGUCCUUGUGACAGCGGAGCUGAAGGAGGUAAAUGUGCAAGGUGGUAAAAGUUAAGCGGUUGUAUAUUGUACUUUAAACCAUUUUAACUUUAACUGAAAUGUCUCUGAAAUGUAAUAUCCUUUCCUGUUUUUGUCGUAUAGAAAAAGCUGUAAUGUGUAAAUGUGACGUCAAAUACAUUUUUAAAACACCA